AUUACCCAAUCCCGACACGGGGGAGGUAGUGACAAUAAAUAACGAUACAGGGCCCUUUCGGGUCUUGUAAUUGGAAUGAGUACAAUGUAAAUACCUUAACGAGGAACAAUUGGAGGGCAAGUCUGGUGCCAGCAGCCGCGGUAAUUCCAGCUCCAAAAGCGUAUAUUAAAGUUGUUGCAGUUAAAAAGCUCGUAGUUGAACCUUGGGCUUGGUUAGCCGGUCCACCUUUUUGGUGUGUACUGGACCUAACCGAGCCUUUCCUUCUGGCUAACCUUCAUCCUUCUGGGUGUUGGCGAACCAGGACUUUUACUUUGAAAAAAUUAGAGUGUUCAAAGCAGGCCUUUGCUCGAAUAUAUUAAGCAUGGAAUAAUAGAAUAGGACGUUAUGGUUCUAUUUUGUUGGUUUCUAGGACCAUCGUAAUGAUUAAUAGGGACGGUCGGGGGUAUCAGUAUUCAGUUGUCAGAGGUGAAAUUCUUGGAUUUACUGAAGACUAACUACUGCGAAAGCUUUACCAAGGGCGUUUUCA
rnacentral:rRNA from 1 species